AACGCGAAGAACCUUACCUGGGCUUGACAUGUGAGUGACCGCCGUGGAAACACGGCUUCCCUUCGGGGCACUUUCACAGGUGGUGCAUGGCUGUCGUCAGCUCGUGUCGUGAGAUGUUGGGUUAAGUCCCGCAACGAGCGCAACCCCCGUCGCAUGUUGCCAGCAUUCAGUUGGGGACUCAUGCGAGACUGCCGGUGACAAACCGGAGGAAGGUGGGGAUGACGUCAAGUCAUCAUGCCCCUUAUGUUCAGGGCUACACACGUGCUACAUUGGCGCGUACAGAGGGUUGCGAUACCGCGAGGUGGAGCGAAUCCCUUAAAGCGCGUCUCGGUUCGGAUUGCAGGCUGAAACUCGCCUGCAUGAAGGCGGAGUUGCUAGUAAUCGCGGAUCAGCAAUGCCGCGGUGAAUACGUUCCCGGGCCUUGUACACACCGGAGUA
rnacentral:rRNA from 1 species